rnacentral:tRNA from 1 species
CGGGGCGUGGCGCAGUCCGGUAGCGCACUAGCAUGGGGGGCUAGGGGUCGCUGGUUCAAAUCCAGUCGCCCCGA